rnacentral:lncRNA from 1 species
GGGGGAUUCUCUUUCACGCUUAAGUGCUUAUUUUGGCUGAAAUUUUGCCUCUUUAGUAUUAGGGAAUAGAGGAAAGAUAUGCGGAUCUAUUUGGAUUUGAACAAUUUCAUGCAGACGCAUACAGAACGGACUGGAUACCACUGGUCGUUUAUUUGGAGAAAAUUGUUCUAUUUUUUUUCUUUUUCUCUCUAGGGCUGUUUGUAUAAAUAUAUGUAGUUCUAUUUGGAUUUGGACAAUUUCAUAUUCCUAUACAAAAUAGUGGCGGACGCAUACAGAACAGAUUGACUGGAUUGUAAAGAAUUCUAUACGGACAUGUUGGCAGAUUUACCAGAUAUUAGCAAUUGUAUAAAGAAUUCUAUACGGACUGCAGCAAUAUAUAGGUGGACGGAUAAAACCAUCGGCAAACUGAAAUUUUCAUCUUUAAAUAUUAGGAGGAAAAGAUAUUGGUAUAGAUGCAC